AACGAACGCUGGCGGCGUGCCUAACACAUGCAAGUCGUGCGAGAAAGUUCCUUCGGGAGCGAGUAAAGCGGCGCACGGGUGAGUAACACGUAGGUAACCUGCCCCCCAGUCUGGAACAACUAGAGGAAACUCUAGCUAAUGCCGGAUGAGACCACGAUCCCUUCGGGGGUUGCGGCCAAAGAUGGCCUCUACUUGUAAGCUAUCGCUGAGGGGUGGGCCCGCGGGCCAUUAGCUUGUUGGUGAGGUAACGGCUCACCAAGGCUGUGAUGGCUAGCUGGUCUGAGAGGAUGACCAGCCACACUGGGACUGAGACACGGCCCAGACUCCUACGGGAGGCGGCAGUGGGGAAUAUUGCGCAAUGGGCGAAAGCCUGACGCAGCGACGCCGCGUGGGUGAUGAAGGCC
rnacentral:rRNA from 1 species